rnacentral:rRNA from 1 species
GUUUGAUCCUGGCUCAGAAUCAACGCUGGCGGCGUGCCUAACACAUGCAAGUCGAACGAGAAAGGGUAGCAAUACCUGAGUAAAGUGGCGCACGGGUGAGUAACACGUGACUAACCUACCUUUGAGCGGGGGAUAACCUAGGGAAACCUGGGCUAAUACCGCAUAAUACCUACGGGUCAAAGCGAGCAAUCGCACUUAAAGAGGGGGUCGCGGCAGAUUAGCUAGUUGGUGAGGUAAUGGCUCACCAAGGCGAUGAUCUGUAUCCGGCCUGAGAGGGCGCACGGACACACUGGAACUGAAACACGGUCCAGACUCCUACGGGAGGCAGCAGUGGGGAAUUUUGCGCAAUGGGGGAAACCCUGACGCAGCAACGCCGCGUGGAGGAUGAAAUCCCUUGGGAUGUAAACUCCUUUCGAUCGGGACGAUAAUGACGGUACCGAUAGAAGAAGCCCCGGCUAACUUCGUGCCAGCCGCCGCGGUAAUACGAAGGGGGCUAGCGUUGUUCGG